UUUUGCAAUUCCGAAAAACGCUUAUUUAAUGGAAUUUUAUGUCAAACAUUCAUGUGUUUAGUAAAUUCAUCGUUCAAAACAAAACAAUAUUGAAAAAUGUUACUUUUCGAUACUAGUGCUGAAAAGUAUUAAUUUUCCAUUCUGUUAUUUUUGGUAGGGAAAAGUAGGCCGUUUCGUUUCUCCAGAA